rnacentral:rRNA from 1 species
AUUGAACGCUGGCGGCAUGCCUUACACAUGCAAGUUCGAACGGCAGCACGGGAGCAAUCCUGGUGGCGAGUGGCGAACGGGUGAGUAAUGUAUCGGGAACGUACCUUUCAGUGGGGGAUAACGUAGCGAAAGUUACGCUAAUACCGCAUAUUCUGUGAGCAGGAAAGCAGGGGAUCGCAAGACCUUGCGCUGAUUGAGCGGCCGAUAUCAGAUUAGCUAGUUGGUGAGGUAAAGGCUCACCAAGGCGACGAUCUGUAGCGGGUCUGAGAGGAUGAUCCGCCACACUGGAACUGAGACACGGUCCAGACUCCUACGGGAGGCAGCAGUGGGGAAUUUUGGACAAU